AUUGAACGCUGGCGGCAGGCCUAACACAUGCAAGUCGAACGGUAACAGGAAGAAGCUUGCUUCUUUGCUGACGAGUGGCGGACGUGUGAGUAAUGUCUGGGAAACUGCCUGAUGGAGGGGGAUAACUACUGGAAACGGUAGCUAAUACCGCAUAACGUCGCAAGACCAAAGAGGGGGACCUUCGGGCCUCUUGCCCUCGGAUGUGCCCAGAUGGGAUUAGCUAGUAGGUGGGGUAACGGCUCACCUAGGCGACGAUCCCUAGCUGGUCUGAGAGGAUGACCAGCCACACUGGAACUGAGACACGGUCCAGACUCCUACGGGAGGCAGCAGUGGGGAAUAUUGCACAAUGGGCGCAAGCCUGAUGCAGCCAUGCCGCGUGUAUGAAGAAGGCCUUCGGGUUGUAAAGUACUUUCAGCGGGGAGGAAGGGAGUAAAGUUAAUACCUUUGCUCAUUGACGUUACCCGCAGAAGAAGCACCGGCUAACUCCGUG
rnacentral:rRNA from 1 species